rnacentral:ncRNA from 1 species
CUCUAAUAUCAAUUGAGAUUAUAUAUUUUAUGGAAUAUAUACAGUAAUGUAUUAGAUAUUAAAGAGGUUUGCCCCAUCCUAAUUUAGGUAAAUAUGUAUCAAUAAAAUGUGUAUUAGUAGAUUUUUUGAAAACAUACAUUUUAU